AUGGCGGCGAGGCAGGGAGGAACCGGCGUCGGGGAAAUCACGGCGGCCGGCGGCGGCAUUACCCCCGGGCCCGGCAGCGCGGCGCGCACGCCGACGGCCAGCCCUUACCAGGUGCCACUUGAAAUAGAAGAGCAAAUUUACUCUCCAGUCUAUGGGAACAUUGCAGUCCGUGACAGUCGUGGUUGUUGCAGUGGUUUCACAGCCAGUUUCACAAAGAUUCUGUUCAUCACGCACCUCGUUGCUUUCAUCGCCCUCACAAUCUUUCUUGGAGUUCAGGCUUCUUCCCACCCGAAUCCUACCUACAAGCCGUUCGCCCACUUCAUUCCGCUCGCCUCUUCUGUGAUAUUAUCUAUUAUCGCUGCCUGCUUUUGGACUAUCCUUGCUGUCACUAAUCCUGCAAAAGCCAUCAAAACAUCUCUCUGGACAGCUCCUGUUUCCGCACUUGGCUGCGAUGUAGUCAUACUCCUCGUCGGUGAUGGUGAAGCCCUUGGCAUCGGAGUGCUCAUAGUUGUGAUCGCCAUUGCAGCGGCUCUGUACAGUUGUUGGGCCACUGGUCCGCGUCUCCAGCACGCCGCCGCAGUACUUUCCACCUCUGUCAAUGGAGCACAUUUGCCCUUCAGUGCUUCUUGCCUGGUUCUUUUUGUUGUCCUUGCCGCGUUUGGCUACAUGGCCUUCUGGACAGUUGCCAUCAGUUGCAUUUCAGCUGCAGAAGGGCACUUCAUGGAUUUCCAUAUUGUCUAUGUGGCUGCGCUCCUGGUCAGCAUAUCAUGGACAAUGCAGGUGCUGCGUUACUUCGUCUAUGUGGCCGUGGCAAGGCUGGCACAUGCGGCGCUUGCCCACGGAGUCCGCAUGCCAGGUGGUGCCGUCGAAGCAUUCUGUGGCACGAUGUCGGGGCCAGCUUUUGGUGACAUAUGCAUGGGGGCUGUGCUUGUCCCGGUGAUUGCAGCGGUGAGGAGCUUCGCUCGAGCGAUUAACGCCCUGUCGGGGGGCAACGACGAGUUCCUUUUCUCAUGCUGCCAGGGCUGCUGCCUGAGUGUCUCGGAGAAACUGAUGGGACGGGUGAACCGUUGGGGCUUUGUCCAUGUCGGAGCGCGGGGGAAGGCGUUCUGUGUGGCUUCGCGGGAUGUGUGGUCCCUUUUCGUUCUCCGCGGGAUGGCGAAGCUUGUUGAUUCAGACCUCACUGGUUCCUUCUGCUUCCUUUCGGCUGUCACGGGAGGCACCUUGGCCUCAUUGGUUGCUGGUUCAUGGGCUCUGGCCAUGGAUAGGGAUCGUAAGGAGCUUGCUCUGCCAAUAUCGUUCUACUCAUUUCUCAUCGGUUAUUACAUGUGCCGGAUGAUGAUUGCGUGGCCGCAGGCUUGCGUUGCAGCAUACCAUGUUGCAUAUGCAGAGAACCCCCAGAAUCCUCACCUGGGAACACUGAUACCAGACCACCUGCGGGAGCUCCAAGCACUAGCUGCAGACUGA
rnacentral:rRNA from 1 species